rfam:Paracoccidioides brasiliensis Pb18 cont1.267, whole genome shotgun sequence.
CACUCGUGCGAGUAAUCCACGAUUGCUGUGGCGCGCUAAGCCCUGGCCUGGACCCUCGAGGGAAGCGAUUCUGCAGAGAACAGGCCCCCCGGAGAUGGCGGCGCCAGACAACACCCCUCGCUGCACA